rnacentral:rRNA from 1 species
AUUGAACGCUGGCGGCAGGCCUAACACAUGCCAGUCGAACGGUAACAGGAAACAGCUUGCUGUUUCGCUGACGAGUGGCGGACGGGUGAGUAAUGUCUGGGAAACUGCCUGAUGGAGGGGGAUAACUACUGGAAACGGUAGCUAAUACCGCAUAACGUCGCAAGACCAAAGAGGGGGACCUGCGGGCCUCUUGCCAUCGGAUGUGCCCAGAUGGGAUUAGCUAGUAGGUGGGGUAACGGCUCACCUAGGCGACGAUCCCUAGCUGGUCUGAGAGGAUGACCAGCCACACUGGAACUGAGACACGGUCCAGACUCCUACGGGAGGCAGCAGUGGGGAAUAUUGCACAAUGGGCGCAAGCCUGAUGCAGCCAUGCCGCGUGUAUGAAGAAGGCCUUCGGGUUGUAAAGUACUUUCAGCGGGGAGGAAGGGAGUAAAGUUAAUACCUUUGCUCAUUGACGUUACCCGCAGAAGAAGCACCGGCUAACUCCGU